UGAUGUGGAGCAAAACACAAAAAGCAGUCUCAGUUCAGAUUGUAGGCUGAAACUACGCCUAUAUGAAGUCGGAAUUGCUAGUAAUCGCAGAUCAGCAUGCUGCGGUGAAUACGUUCCCGGGCCUUGUACACACCGCCCGUCACACCAUGAGAGUCGAUAGCACCCGAAGCCUGUAGUCUAACCAUAAGGAGGACGCAGUCGAAGGUGGGAUUGAUAAUUAGGGUGAAGUCGUAACAAGGUAAC
rnacentral:rRNA from 1 species